UAUGAAGCAAUCUUGGCUGAAUGAGAUGGUCCCAGAGUGUUGAGGGAGAGCUGGCUGGGGCGUGCGCCGCGGGACUGCUGCCUCUGCCGAGUCCCAGCGCGCGCUUUUCCUCGCAGGUCAGCCCGCCCGCACGUGCAGCCGGUGUUGUCUGUUUGUUUUCUCCGGUGCUUUUUUUUUCUUUUUAGUUCGUGUCGGGGCGAUGUGUUAAACACGCACACACAGAGGCGGAACCCGUAAGGCAGAGCGGCAUCUGCCUUAGCGAGGCUCUAGGGACGAGGUGACGUGAACACUGAGGGACACCUGUGACCCAUGAUGGGGGAGUCUACAGGUGUGCUCUGUUACAAGAGACGCGGGGCCAGCAGAGUCUCCUUUCGGCUGCUCUUCCCCGCAGGGCAUCCCGAGCCCCACCACACCUGCGCUUUCCUAAAAAACAGACAACGCAGAAGGCGCUACGCGUCCAGAGGAGGUACCCCCAGCCCGGCCGGGAGCCCCGCAGAGCUUUCGUCCCGCAGAGCUUCACCCUCAGCUCCUCCUCUGGAUUGUCUUUGAGUCGCGGGCGUAUCGGGAGUUUUGAAAAAGAGAGCGGGGCGGCGUGGAGCUGCUGGAAUCCACGACGUCGCGAGAGCCUCCUGCCUUUCAGCUUCAUUAAACCAAUUUCACGCUGAGAAAACGCUAUUGUCAUCCGGGCCGCCUGUGCACCAACCUGCCCUCACCGGAACUUCUCCGGAACUUUCUUCUCCUGUCGAACAGCACUCACUCCGCGAUGGUUUCCAUGCUGUGGAGGAAGAGCGGUUCUACAGUGCUUAGUCUCUGGAUGAAUAGAUCAGAUGGGAGAUCUCCAGGCUUUACCCCUGGCCCUGGAGCUUAUAGAGGAAGCCCGUUAGUUUGCGCUUGCGUCGCUCCUCUUAGCCCGUGUCUCCUUAAACAGCUGUGUGCUGGUCCUCCGAUCCUGCCCCCCCCAGCCCUGGCGCACAGUUUCAGCUGCAAAGACGCAGCGAAGUCUGUUCUGAAGGACGUUUUUGCAGCUAUGUGUGAACUUAGCCCUGUUUUUCCCUGCAGUUUCCCUGAAGUGCCCAAAUGCUUAUAUUGACUCUGCUUGGCAGAGCAUUUCAGGAGACACUGCGUAGCAUGCAACUCCAGGUUUUGAAGCCGUUGUCUGUGUAAAUCAUUAUAUUCGUAUUUACCAUCAGGGCCACCCCUGACCUCUUUUGGGGGCCCUAAACAUAAAAUUUUUUUUGGUUGGGCCCUUCCCCCAUUUCAUUCCAUGGCUAUCAGCCCAGAUGCUCAAAGCAAUGUGGAUAGAGGGAGGGAGGGUUGCAGUAGUUGUUAUGGCCAGCCAGGGGGAAGGAGAGGGAGAUUGCAAUUGCGGACCAGGAGGUGGUGGGAGUGGGGGUAUUAGAAGUUGUGGACCAAGGGGGGUGGGGUGGGGGAUAUUGCAAUCAUGGUGACAGGGCCCCUGAAGGCUUUCCCAAAAUAGGGGGACCUGUUUAUCAUUAUUGGUUACUUUACUGUAAACAGAACAACGCAUACCUUUUGAAGAGUCAUAUCUACACAUAUCAUGUGAGGACACGUGCUCGAAGCCUUUGUGGAAGUUCACAGAAGUCAUGCCACCAGGUAAACACCCGGAGGAUAUCGGGGAAACGGUUUCAGUUUAAAAGAUGGGAGCAGAAACGGGAAACUACACAAUGUCUAAGGUUUCACCCUCCACUUUGUUCCCGUUUUAUUCUUCAUGUUAAAAUUGAAACUACUCAUGAGACAAUUAAAACUGAAACGUAUAUGUCCUGCUCAACAAUGCUCAUAACUGUGAGACAAAGAAAUACAUUACCACGCCUGGCUUAACACGCAGGCUUUAUGGCAAAUGUACAGUUAAAGGUGAACAAGUACUGUUAAUGCUUGUGAGGGUAAAUUCAGGCUGUCAUUACUGACAGGACUUAGCGGGUAACUUUCCCAUCAUCCCCCAUGCCUACAGCUGACAGAGUGGGGUCAGGUGUGACAGGGGGGGUCCUGGUACGUGUUUCCCAGACGGGACAACAAUGCGGGCCCUCUGGUUUCUGGGGUGGCCCGGUACAGUGUGGGGGUUAUCCGCCUGGAAUCUCUCCUCCAGACCACCCUCCACCUCCGCCCCCACCCGGGGGAGGGGGUGUGUAACGCUGUCGCUCUGGGAAACAGCGGCCUCCGAAUGUGCGGGGGGUGCUUCUCAUUCAGGCUCAGGUAACACGGUGGAGAGGGAGGGAGGGGGGGGGGCUAAAUGGACAGGGGGUAAGAGGGUAACCCUGAACCAGAGGUGAACGGGAUGGCAGUGAGCAAUGACCCAGUUUCGUGGCCCCUGUCCCAAGAGCAGAUGGGCCUGUGGGAGGCUUGUCUCCACUUAGGGCUGUUUCUCAGAGCAGAAGGCUGGCUGCCUCUUCAGGCAGGUGGAGUUAGUGUGGCACUAUGUUGGAGAUGCUACAAAAAAAAAACAGAACUGAAAUUAAAGAUCUAAUAAGAUCCUGUUUGUUAAAUACCGUCACUGC